rnacentral:lncRNA from 1 species
AAAUUGAUGGAGUGCAUUCAACCGAAGAAUUUUGCUGAUACAAAUUCGAGGAAUUUCUUCAUCUACUCAUCAGAGCUUCUCAAUAUGGAUUGGAUGAUGUUUACCUUGCACCUUUAGGUGGCUCUCAAUUGGCAUUUAUUAAGAUUCUGGGUGCGCUCGAAUCUGGGCCAUUGUGAGUCUUGCCUUUAAAGAUUGCUGGUUACAUCUUUCUCAUUGCGUGCUUCUAUGUGGACUAGAUGACUCAAUUCUUUAAUAGGUCUUGGGUGCGCUCGGACCUAGGAUUGCUCGAGUCUAGUUCCAAUGGAGUUGUUACUUUUGGCGAGUGCGUGCUUCCACUCCAUUACUACCGGUUCAAGGAGUUGUUACUUAUGGUGAGCGCGUGCUUCUACUCCACUCCUAGGCAUCAUAAAGCUCAAAGCUCGACGUAUACUUUGGAAGUAAGGCGAAACCCUCCAUAUCGACGUAUAUUUUGGAAGCAAGGGGAAGCACUCUGCAUCGACGCAUACUUUGGAAGCAAGGCGAAACCCUCCACAUCGGCGUAUACUUUGGAAGCAAGGGGAAUCACUCCGCAUCGGCGCAUACUUGGAAGCAAGGCGAAGCCCUACCAUAUCGAUGUANAUUGGAAAAAUAAGGAAAUUGAAAGCUAUUUAUAAAGUGCUCUCCACCAUAAAGGAACAAUCAAGUGUGCUUCUCUAUGGUGGACCAUAUGGUGCACCCAAGAAAGCUCUACACAACAAAUAAGGCUAAAAAUCAAAGACCACGAGGAAAGCGAUUGGCAAGAUUGGUAGUCAAAGGUUUCCAACAGGAAGAAGGAAUUGACUACACAGAUAUCUUUGCUCCGGUUGUAAAGUUGACAACAAUCCGAUCGGUCCUGAGUAUUGUUGCAACGGAGGACUUGCAUCUAGAGCAGUUAGAUGUGAAAACUGCUUCCUCAAUGGUGACUUAGAGGAGGAAAUAUACAUGCAACAACCAGAUGGAUUCUCUGCAAAGGAAAGGAGAAGCUGGUGUGCAAGUUGAAAAGAGCCUGUAUGGCUUGAAGCAAGCUCCGAAGCAAUGGUACAAGAAGUUUGAUGGAUUCAUGCAGAAAAAUGGCUACAUGAAGUGCAAUGCUGACCAUUGUUGUUACUUCAAGAGGUUCGAGUCCAGCUAUAUCAUCUUGCUACUUUAUGUUGAUGACAUGUUAGUAGCCGGCUCAGACUUGAACGAAAUCAAGAAGUUGAAAAGGCAGCUUUCAGCGGAGUUCGAGAUGAAGGACUUAGGAGAAGCAAAGCAAAUUCUCGGGAUGAGAAUUUACAGAGACAAGCAAAAAGGUGUUUUGCAGUUGUCUCAAGCCAACUACGUCAAUCGAAUCUUGCAAAGAUUCAACAUGAGCAGUGCUAAACCGGUUAGCUCAUCAUUAGCUAACCAUUUCCGCCUAUCCAAAGAGCACUCUCCAAAGACUAAGGAGGAAAGAGACUUCAUGGCUAAAUUCCUUACGCCUCAGCCAUUGGAAGUCUGAUGUGUGCCAUGGUCUGUACUAGACCAGAUAUCGCUCAUGCAGUGGGAGUUGUGAGCAGAUUUAUGGCAAAUCCAGGAAAGCAGCAUUGGGAAGCAGUAAAGUGGAUAUUGAGAUAUCUACGUGGAUCUACUGAUAGAUGCUUGUGUUUUCGACGAGGUGAUGUAGCACUACAAGGUUUUGUAGAUGCAGAUUUUGCCGGUGAGGUAGAUCGCAGGAGAAGCACUACCGGUUAUGUCUUUACUGUUGGCACGACUGCUGUUAGUUGGAUCUCGCAGAUACAAAAGAUUGUUGCUUUAUCCACUACAGAAGUAGAGUACGUGGCAAUCACCGAGGCUAGCAAAGAAAUGAUCUGGUUACAAGGGUUGUUGGCAGAAUUGGGUUUUGAUCAGACGAAGAAUGUCUUGCACAGCGAUAGUCAGAGUGCGAUACAUCUGGCAAAGAAUUCAGCAUUUCAUUCUAGAACAAAGCAUAUUGGACUUCGUUAUUCAUUUCAUCAGAUCUCUGUUGGAGGAUGAGGUGUUAAUACUUGAAAAGAUCCAAGGAGCUCAAAAUCCAGCCGACAUGCUUACAAAGGCAGUAACCAUUGAUAAAUUGAAGUUGUGCUCAGCUUCAAUUGGUUUGCUAGAAUGACAAAGACAGAAAGGCUGCUGCGUUGAUCGAGGUGUGAAGACAGAUUGAAAUCAGUCUUCAAGUGGGAGAUUGUUAGUAAAAAAUGGAAGUAGGUAGCCACCUACCACCUCCACCAUUUGCCACCUACCACCAUUUGCCACCUACCACCUCCACCAUUUGCCUAUAAAUAAACAUCUUCUGCAGCAUCCCAAACACAACAACACAACACCAAAAUCACAACCAUAGCUAUCUAGAGAGAGAUAGAAAUAGAGAGAGAAAAAAUCUUGUGAGAUAAAACUUCAGUGUGGAAGUUAUACACGAGUGAUAAAAGAGAGUUGAGAGAUAGCCUCUGCGUAGGCAGAUACAAAAUACAGUGUGAUAUUUUGUUGUACUCCUCCUUUUGAGAUUCUCUAAUAUAUUGGUGUGGGUCCGUGGACGUAGGCAGUUUGGCCGAACCACGUUAAAAAUAUCGGUGUCAUUUUUUUUUCUCGUUUCAUAUCGGUCGAUAUCCAAAAUUUUGCGUCACACUAGAUCCAGGGCGGAAUUAGUUGCGUCUAAUUUCCUAACAGAGAAGCAGGGACAGCUUGUGGCAAUCACCGACUUCUUCGGAAUGGGCGCAGCAGCAGCAGGAACCGGCUUUAAGCACAGAGGGAUGGAGUGGGGUUGUACUCGGUGAGGGAGUUUCUUUGCUUGAUCACAUUCGAGCGUGGAGAGAAGCGGCGGCGGGAGUUGGAGGCAAUCUUUAAUGGCUCCUCAAUCAAAUUAUGCAGAUAGAUGACAACAGCAACAACAUAAUUAUGGUCAACCAUCUGUUUCUCCAUAUUCUCAAAGUUAUACUGUGCGACAUUCGUCUUCUGUGGGAUAGCAACACUCGUCAAGAUUAUGCUGUGACUUUCUUCUUCUUCUUCUUCUUUAUNUUUUUUUUGUAGGAAUUGGUGAUUAUGCACGCAUCCAUUGAAAAGCUGUGGAGUUUUUUUUUUUUCAUGUAGAAGUUUUAUGUUGCCCCAACUUCAACUAUUGAUCGAGCGCAUUCAACCAAGGAAUUUUACUUAUAAAAAUUGAUGGAGUGCAUUCAACCGAAGAAUUUUGCUUGAUGAGGAGUAAUAUAUGCGGAACAGAGGAAUGACUUUACCAGGGGAAUCACGGGGAGCAGUGAGACGGCUUUCAUCAGAGGAAUCACACUCAGCAGAUGAAUCACACUCACCAGAGGAAUGGUCUUCACCAGAGGAAUCACCAGAAACGCGGGGAAAUCUCCCGCGUGAAGCGAUUUUACUAUUAUGCCCCUGACCACGCAAGACGCAUGCUCCAGUGCUGAAUUUACCAUUUUACCCUUUACGUGUACUCUAUAAAUAGUGGCAUACGUGCUCCUUGUAAUUUACGCUAUCUUUUAUUAUCAAGCAGCAAUUUUACUCUCGUGCUCAAAAACCCCGAUUACUCUCUUUCGUCUUCUCCGAUCUAAACUAGGUACAGUUCACGAUUUCCUAACAAUUCUCCGAUAAAAUCCAUCUCCAUUUAACCAUGCUUCACCAUUGCUGAUACAAGUUGAGGGAUUUUUUCAUCUACUCAUCGGAGUUUCUCAAUAUGGAUUGGAUGAUGUUUACCUUGCACCUUUAGGUGGCUCUCAAUUGGCAUUUAUUCAGAUUCUGGGUGCGCUCGAAUCUGGGCCAUUGCGAGUUUGACCUUUAAAGAUUGCUUGUUACAUCUUCUCUUGGCGUGCUUCUAUGUGGACUAGAUGACUCAAUUCUUUAAUAGGUCUUGGGUGCGCUCGGACCUAGGAUUGCUCGAGUCUAGUUCCAAUGGAGUUGUUACUUUUGGCGAGCGCGUGCUUCCACUCCACUACUACCGGUUCAAGGAGUUGUUACUUUUGGUGAGCGCGUGCUUCUACUUCAUUCCUAGGCGUCAUAAAGCUCAAAGUUUGACACUUACUUUGGAAGCAAGGUGAAGCCCUCCAUAUCGAUGCAUACUUUGGAGGCAAGGCGAAGCCCUCCAUAUCGAUGUAUACUUUGGAAGCAAGGGGAAGCACUCCGCAUCGGCGCAUACUUUGGAAGCAAGGCGAAACACUCCGCAUCGGUACAUACUUUGGAAGCAAGGCGAACCUCCGCAUCGGCGAUAUUUGGAAGCAAGGGAAGCACUCCGCAUGGCGCAUACUUUGGAAGCAAGGCGAAGCCCUCCACAUCGGCGCAUAAAGCUCAAAGAUCAAGUUUAAGAAGAUCGAAGGCACAACUCUCGAGCUCAGAGACCAUCCAAGAAUCAACUUGAAGAUUGGAGAGAGCUCUUUCAAAGUGUGUUGAAGCUAGAUGUGGAGACGCGGAGUUUAAAUUUGAUCAAGAAAAAGCUUUGAAGGUUUGGACCCGUUUUGUCACUUGCCUCUUCACUUGUAUUAUUUCAUAACUUUCAAGCAACAUUCAUUGUUUCUUAUGAAUUAAUGUACCAUUUAACUUCAACAUCCAAGCAUAACAAUCAAUAUGCCAACCAUUCAUUUUACUCAUCAA